UACGGAGGGUGCUAGCGUUGUUCGGAAUUACUGGGCGUAAAGGGCUCGUAGGCGGCCAACUAAGUCAGACGUGAAAUCCCUCAGCUUAACUGGGGAACUGCGUCUGAGACUGGCAAGCUCGAGUGCAGGAGAGGAACGCGGAAUUCCAGGUGUAGCGGUGAAAUGCGUAGAUAUCUGGAGGAACACCGGUGGCGAAGGCGGCGUUCUGGACUGCAACUGACACUGAGGAACGAAAGCCAGGGGAGCAAACGGG
rnacentral:rRNA from 1 species